rnacentral:rRNA from 1 species
AUACGGAGGAUCCGAGCGUUAUCCGGAUUUAUUGGGUUUAAAGGGUGCGCAGGCGGCCAUUUAAGUCAGCGGUUAAAUCGUGGGGCUCAACCCCAUUCUGCCGUUGAUACUGGGUGGCUUGAUUGCGGUCGAGGUUGGCGGAAUUCGUUGUGUAGCGGUGAAAUGCAUAGAUAUGACGAAGAACACCGAUUGCGUAGGCAGCUGGCCAGACCGCAAAUGACGCUCAUGCACGAAAGUGCGGGGAUCGAACAGGAUUAGAUACCCUGGUAGUCCGCACAGUAAACGAUGAAUACUUGUUUUCGGCGAUAUAAUGUCGGAGGCAAAGCGAAAGCGAUAAGUAUUCCACCUGGGGAGUACGCCGGCAACGGUGAAACUCAAAUGAAUUGGCGGGG